CCCUUAGAUGUUCUGGGCCGCACGCGCGCUACACUGAACAGUUCAACAAGUCUUAACCUUGGCCGAUAGGUCUGGGUAAUCUUUGAACGCUGUUCGUGAUUGGGAUAGACCUUUGCAAUUAUGGGUCUUCAACGAGGAAUGCCUAGUAAGCGCAAGUCAUCAGCUUGCGUUGAUUACGUCCCUGCCCUUUGUACACACCGCCCGUCGCUCCUACCGAUUGAAUGGUCCGGUGAAGCGUUCGGACCGUGGCCUUUGGACGGUUCGCCGUCUGUUGGCUGCGGGAAGUUCGUUAAACCUUAUCAUUUAGAGGAAGGAGAAGUCGUAACA
rnacentral:rRNA from 1 species